GUUCCCUGGUGCUUCCUUGGCCUCCGGCCUCGGUCAGCUUGCUCUGUGGUUUGUGGCGUGGGGCAGACCUCUACCUGCUCCUGUCUUCAUCUCUACUGGAUACCUUGGCUUCAUCUUUGCCCGCCAAUCUGUCUCAUUUGCUCAUACUAACAUAUUUGUUCUUCUUCUCUCAUAUCCCCUAGAAAGUGAGCAGGAGCAAUCCCUGUGGCCUCUGCCAUUAUUGCUUUGAAGACAGAUUUUUCCAGCUCAGUCUCUCUGGAUGCCACAGCCUGGUGCACCCUCCUUCCAGGUCCCCAUACUCACCCUUCUCCCUUACCUAACCCCCUGCAGCAGUUUCCAGCAUGUUUGUCAGUGGGGAUCUGUGAAGAACAUUCUAGAGGCAUGACACUAGGCUGAUAAUUUAAUGGAGAGGGAAGUCCAGAUGGAAGUGAGGUGAGAAGGGCUCUGGGAGUCCAUGAACACAAUCUGCUCUGGAAGAGAAAGGAGCUAAUCUGGGUCCAGACAAAAGGUAUGCGGCCCAGAGUGCUUUCCUGCUCUCACUCAGGUCCCUAACCAGCAUCUUGGCCAACCUUCCAGGCCCAAACUCGUCUCCUUGGACCUGGGCUUCAAUGACUUGACAGACCUGCAGAGCAUGAUAACAGGUCUCAGCACCUUGCGGCAACUGAGGCUGCUGAUACUGCAGGGGAACCCACUGGCCCUGGUGCCUUACUACCGAGGCUUUACUGUGGACAGCCUGGCACACCUCUGUGUGCUGGACGACGUCAUCGUGUCUCCCAGCGAGAAGCACCAGUUCCGGGGACUCAGCGUUCAUGGUGCAGAUUGCCCAGCCCGCCUCCAGCAUGGAGCAGUUAGAUGAGGAGGUUCAUGAGGAGGACCAACAGGAUCUGUUGGAGGACCAUCCAGGGACCCAGCACGGACAGUCUCGCCUGACCCGCCGUGGUGUCCGCCAGGGGAUUCCAGAGUCUCCCGAGGGCAUGUCCAAGGAGAUGGCUGAGUUUUUAGCUGAGGAGAUGGACGAGGAGUCUGGGAUAGAGUCUGGGAUAACAGAUAUGGAGGAGUCAGAGACAACCAUUUCCAUCCACUCGGAGCCCCUGCCACAAUCGAUUAGCUCUUCAGAAGAACUGUCCAAGCUGCGGCCACGCAUUGAUACACGACUCUGUCCAUCCCCAGGGUAGGAGGAGAAGGCAAGGUGGCUGGGGGUAGGCGGAGCAUCCGUGGUUGCCACAGCCAGAGCUGCCCUUGCAGCUGAGCCACAAAGAGCCACCAAGGCUGUCUUCUCAUUAGUUAGCCUGUAGCUGUGAGCUAGUGGUAGCUUUGGGCUUAGUCCAGACCCUUUUCUGGAGCCCUAACUUCCCACUCAGUACAACUAGCUCCAGGCACCUGAGGGUAGAGGACAAAACUCUCCAAAAGAUUGACUCUCCUGUCAAUACAGCUUCCAUCUCAGCUAUUGGAAUCUGAUUCUUACAGCCAUUAAUUUUAAAAAACAAAAGACCCCAAAUCAAACAUGCUUAUUUUCUUUAUAUGUGUGUUUUUCCUGAACAAACAUGAGUGUACUGCCUAUGCGUCUGUUGCCGGAGGAGUCCAGAAGGUUCAGGAUCCUCUGGAACUGGAAUUAUAGCUGGUUGUAAACUGCCAUGUGCAUGCUGGGAACUGAACCUGGGUCUUCUAUAAGCAGCAGCUGGCAAUCUCUGAGCUAUGUCUCCAACUCCUUUUAGCUUUUCAAUCCAUCUGGGAUGUGUUCAUAUAAAAUGUAGCAAGGCACUCGCUUCAAGGCAAUAGGUUCUUUGUUUUGUUUGCAGUACUAGAGGCUGAAGCAAUGAGCCUAACCUCCUGGACAAGUGUUCUAUGGCAGAGCCCCAGCCCUUGUUUUACUCUGUGCUUAGAUACGAACACUCACUAAGUUUCCUAGGCCAACCUUGAACUUGGGGUCCUCGCUGAGUAGCUCAAAUUCCAGGUACCACCAGGCCUAACAACCAUGUUUUUGUUGCCUAGUCAACCCAAUUUUCAUGCAUGAGCAUGUGUAAACACACACACACACACACACACACACACAUGAGCAUGUACACGCACGCACGCACGCACGCACG
rnacentral:lncRNA from 1 species